ACUCCUACGGGAGGCAGCAGUGGGGAAUAUUGCACAAUGGGGGAAACCCUGAUGCAGCAACGCCGUGUGAGUGAAGAAGGUUUUCGGAUCGUAAAACUCUGUCCUAAGGGAAGAAACAAAUGACGGUACCUUAGGAGGAAGCCCCGGCUAACUACGUGCCAGCAGCCGCGGUAAUACGUAGGGGGCAAGCGUUAUCCGGAAUCACUGGGCGUAAAGGGUGCGUAGGCGGCUUAGCAAGCCAGGGGUGAAAGGCAUUGGCUCAACCAAUGUAAGCCUUUGGAACUGUUAAGCUUGAGUGCAGGAGAGGUAAGUGGAAUUCCUAGUGUAGAGGUGAAAUUCGUAGAUAUUAGGAGGAACACCAGUGGCGAAGGCGACUUACUGGACUGUAACUGACGCUGAUGCACGAAAGCGUGGGUAGCGAACAGGAUUAGAUA
rnacentral:rRNA from 1 species